ACAGUGAGUAUCAUCAAAAUGGGAUGAUGGAGAACCCGUAUACGAGUUUAUCGAAUUGUGAUCAUCAUCAUGACGAUGACGGGGGGUUGGGUUUGAGAAGCAAUAACGUGAAUAACGUUUUUGACGAAGGGCUUAGCUAUGAAGUUGAUGUAGAUAUCAAUUACUGCAACGACGAUGUUUUCUCUUCGUUUCUCAAUUCGUUGAUCAAUGAAGAUGCUUUUGCUAGCCAGCAUAAUCAACAAGUACUGCAACAACAACAACAACAACAACAGCAGCAGCAGCUACCAAAUGAGACGAUUGCAUUGCCGAAUACAACUACUGGCUCAUCAUCAGAUCCUUUGGUUUCGACUGCAGCUGCAUCAACUUUUGGCCUUGAAGCAAACUGGGAAUCUCCAAUCAUGGCUUCUUCUUUGAACCAAGAUGAGUCCAGGAGGGUUGAUGAACACGUUGAGUAGCCUUCGAGUGAAUCACCAUCUGCAUACGUGUCCGACAUGAAAUUGCAUGCACAUUGGGGUUUUUUCUUAUAUAUUUAUUUCUCUGUGUUUAAUUUUCUUCAUGCACUUGUUCCACUUCAUCUGUUAUCAUCUUUAAUGUUGUGUCGUAUUGAUGGAAAUUAAUAUGUUUGCCGUAAACAAAACCAAGAACUUGAACAACUAAUAUGAUGUAUUGUAUUGAAUCUAGCAUGCGAAUGUGAUCACAUUACAUUUAUAAUAUUUAAUAAGUAGCGUGAAUUUCCAAUGCUAUAUACAUGAAACUUCAUACAACUAAUAAGUAACGACACAUAUAUAUAAGAAGCUCUAAAUUAUGAUCUCUCACAAGGUCUCGAGUUAUCGCGAGGGAUGGAAUGAAAUUCUAAUGUUGUGUGUUUCUUGGAUAGUUUUACAAAGAUUAAAUGAUUAAUUGGCUGCGUAAUCAAUAUUUACUAGAGUUAAUUAAUAGCCUACAUACGAUCGAUCGAUCAUAUUAAAACCCUUAAUCCCACAAGUGAAAUCUUUCAAUGAUCAUGCAAGUUGAUGCAUUUCCUAUCGCCAUUCACGGCUGUCAUUACGUUUCUCUUAUUAUCUAAUUAACUCGAAUUUUCUCCGGCUAAAGUUGGGUUCAUAUAUGGCCUUUUUUAUUCUUCUCAUGCACAAAUAAACGACAAGAUUUUUUUUUUUUUUUUUUUUAUUGUAGGAGAGAUUCUACUGUACCUCUGUUGUAUUACACUCAUUUAAUGGAUGUAUAACAUUCAUAUUUAAGAUUUUGAUUAUAGAAUUUAUAUUCCAACUGAUUUGUCACUACUAGAAUUUCAUCAUUUGAAUUAUAAAUAAUAAGGUUUAAUAAUUAACUAUCACUUAAGGCAAUCAAAUUAUGACACAUCAUUUAUUCUAUUAGUUGGAUACAAAUUAAAUAUUCCAACUAAAACUAAAUAAAUAUAGUAUUAUUAAAAUCUUAAACGUCUUUGUACAAUGAUAACAAAUCUCACAUGUGAGAAGAAUUAAUAUCAGUUCUUGCUUUCACCAAAAUGACAAAUUAAACAUGUGAAAAGGUUGAAUUGACGCCAUUGACGCCAUAUCUUUAAAUUAGGAACAUGUUAAGUUACACGUGUUCAAUUGAAAAUCAUAGAGAAAAAAAAAAAAAACUGAAUUAAAACCAAGCAAAAUAAGGUGAAUUACUUUUAUUUUUUAACAAAAAAUUUUGCGGUGACUUCCGACCGAAAGUGGUAGUAGAACUAUGAAGGCGGUGAUGGACGGUGGAGAUGAUGUUCGACUGAUGAUUCUAAUCAUAUCUAACGGUCAACUGAAGCUACCAGUCUACUUAAAAACAGCCUGCGAUUGGUAGAUGGUUGACUACUUGACUUGUCCCACACUAAUUUGGUAAGUCUGGCCGUACUUCGUUUGACAGAAAAUUCCUUGCUUUUUUCCAUGCUCAUAUGCUUCAAAUUUUAAGAAUCUUAAAUAAUUUUUUUACCAUAUAUUUAUUUGCAAAUAUAUUAGUUUUUUUCCUUUUUCUAUUUUUUGAGGUUCUAAUUCUAAUUUCCACAUAAUCCUUAAUAUCUUCUGCCCCAAAUUAGUAACAUUUAUUAUAUAUAAGUUUGUACCCUCGAUUUUUUUUCUCUUUAUUUAUCUUGUCGACCAAUGGUUUAUGAUACUAAUAAAUAAAUAAAUAGAGAAGUUAUUAUAUUUACAAGUGUAUAAUGUAUUAUUAUUUUUGCAUUUUUUUGUACAUAUGUUAGAAUAUUAAAAUAUUUUAUAGUUCAUUUUGUUUGCGUGUGUUGUGUGCAUUUAGAGUGGUCCUUUAGACCAACUUUACAUGCUUUCAAUUUUCAAGUACCAAUUAUAGCACCAAAACGCAAUUAAUACACACACACACAAAAAUUACUUCUACGUAUAAAAAAAUAAUAAUGGUACUUCAUUUUCCAUUUUGUUCUUUUUGUGUGAAUGAAAUGUCUUCUUCUUUCUCCUUUUUUAAUAAAAGGUAAGAAGUCUAAGUGGGGCUACAUUUUCGCUUUAAAUCAUGUAAUUAGCUCUAAAUUAAAUUUGAAUAUAAAUUUUUAAGAUAUGAACUGCUCCACAGUAGAGCAUUGAUGAUGAUCGUAUGAUUAUAGAGAUGCAUAUAAAAUAUGCACUUACUAUUAUGAUCUGACGGUCAUCAUUAAUGUUCCACAGUGAAACAGCUCCACUGUAACCACUACCUCAAGAUAUAUGUUUUAUGAAACCUCAAAAUUUAGUGAACAUUAUAACGAAACUUUAUGUAUAUUAGCAAAAUGACACUAUAUUAUUUAGAAAUAACCAUGUCAAUUGGUACUCUUACUCUAGUUGAUGCAUUAUUAACAUGGAACAAAGUUGGUUCUUAAUGAACUAAAUAUAUAAAAUAACAGCCAUUACACAUACUUAUUAUAACAAAAACAAGAACAAAAAGUUAAAAGAAAAGAAAAGGAAAAAAAAAAAAAACAGUACUGAUGGCAAUGACAACAGGUGUAUGCAGAAGAGCCACUCUUGCUUUCUGUAAGUUUUAUGCGAGAAAAUAGAGAAACACGUUUCGGAAAACAAAAAUGCUGCAGAAUUUAAUUAACAUUAAGAAGUUUGGAGCAUAUAAGUCAAAGAUUUUACCCACAACAAAGAAAAGAAUGAACUAACAAUAUAGUUAUGAUGAUGAUUAUUAUAAGUAAAACAAGAACAAAAAGAAUGAAUUAAACAACAAGAAUCAAUUAACAUACCUUAAAAGAGUUGCAUGCAAAAUAAAGAACCAUCUCAUUCAUACACUUGAAGCCUUUUUUUUUCACGAAAUGCAGCGGCCAUAUGAUGAUGAAACAAUAUAAAAAGGGGUCGUCAAGACAACUCACUGUGUUAUAUGCACUUGAAAUGAGAAGAAUUUUCUGUGACGCCCAGCAAAAUUUGUGAGUUUCGUGAAAGUUUAAUGGCGGAUGUAGGUUACAUAUUGGUCGAUAAUUAAGUUGAGGAAAUGAAAAGAUUUUAUUUAUUAGAUUUAGAGUCAAUUUUUGACCAAUAGAUUUGUGUGCAUCUUUGUUUGGAUCACUGGCUUCAGCAGGUGAAAGAAUUAGAGAGGUGAUCAACCAAACAUUCUUACCAAAAUGUUAGACAAACCAACCUUUCUUUUGUUUUGAAUUGUUGAAACUUGAAGAGCCCAAUUUUUGUGCAAGCUUCUUUAAUUUCAAGCCAUGAUGAACUCAACUGCCAAU
rnacentral:lncRNA from 1 species